rnacentral:rRNA from 1 species
AGUGGGGGAUAACACCGGGAAACCGGUGCUAAUACCGCAUAUUCUGAUGAGAUCUGCGGAUUUUGUCAGGAAAGGAGCAAUUCGCUCUGGGAGGGGUCCGCGGCUGAUUAGCUAGUUGGUGAGGUAAUGGCUCACCAAGGCAACGAUCAGUAGCCGGUCUGAGAGGACGGUCGGCCACACUGGAACUGAGACACGGUCCAGACUCCUACGGGAGGCAGCAGUGGGGAAUUUUUGGCAAUGGGGGCAACCCUGACCAAGCAACGCCGCGUGGAUGAUGAAGUAUCUCGGUACGUAAAAUCCUUUCGACGGGGACGAAACCGCAAGGUUGACGGUACCCGUAGAAGAAGCCCCGGCUAACUCCGUGCCAGCAGCCGCGGUAAUACGGGGGGGGCAAGCGUUGUUCGGAAUUACUGGGCGUAAAGGGCGCGUAGGCCGCUUGUUAAGUCGGGUGUGAAAACUCUGGGCUCAACCCAGAGCCUGCACUCGAAACUGAUGAGCUAGAGUUCUGGAGGGGAAAGCGGAAUUCCUGGUGUAGCAGUGAAAUGCGUAGAUAUCAGGAGGAACACCGGUGGCGAAGGCGGCUUUCUGGACAGAAACUGACGCUGAGGCGCGAAAGCUAGGGGAGCAAACAGGAUUAGAUACCCUGGUAGUCCUAGCCCUAAACGAUGGAUA